UAAGGAAUAUUGCGCAAUGGGGGAAACCCUGACGCAGCAACGCCGCGUGGAGGAUGACACUUUUCGGAGCGUAAACUCCUUUUAUCAGGAAAGAAUAAUGACGGUACCUGAUGAAUAAGCACCGGCUAACUCCGUGCCAGCAGCCGCGGUAAUACGGGGGGUGCAAGCGUUACUCGGAAUCACUGGGCGUAAAGGACGCGUAGGCGGAUUAUCAAGUCUUUUGUGAAAUCUAGUGGCUUAACCACUAAACUGCUUAGGAAACUGAUAGUCUAGAGUAGGGGAGAGGUAGAUGGAAUUCUUGGUGUAGGGGUAAAAUCCGUAGAGAUCGAGAAGAAUACCCAUUGCGAAAGCGAUCUGCUGGAACCUAACUGACGCUGAGGCGUGAAAGCGUGGGUAGCAAACAGG
rnacentral:rRNA from 1 species